rnacentral:rRNA from 1 species
GACGAACCGUGCGAACGUUAUUCGGAAUCACUGGGCUUAAAGCGCGUGUAGGCGGGACGGUGCGUCGGCCGCUGAAAUCCCCCGGCUCAACCGGGGAAGGGGCGCCGAUACGACCGCCCUGGAGCGACGUAGGGGGAACUGGAACCUCCGGUGGAGCGGUGAAAUGCGUUGAGAUCGGAAGGAACGCCCGUGGCGAAAGCGAGUUCCUGGACGUCGGCUGACGCUGAGACGCGAAAGCCAGGGGAGCGAACGGG